AUCAAUAACUCCUGGAAUGAAGUUAUCAAGGAAAAGCCCCGUUCAACGUACAAAGUCGAAUACUUAAUGGUAAAGUAGAGCUGUUACAUAGGAAGCCUCUCCUCAUACUACUAUCACUACUACUAUCACGGCCUGUAAUGAAAGAAGGAAGGAGGUUAAUUGUACAUGAAGACAAUACUGAAAAAUAUGUAUAUAUGUGCUGUGACUUCUUCACAUGGUGCAGAUUGGUCUUGUCUUAAUGCUAUUGUCAGUAGCUUAGGGCUAAUGUAAAAUAAAGUCAACUAUGGAUAAAAGGAAGUUUACCAAAAGAGGACUUUGUGAGUUAGGUAUUCUCCUGUAUGUUUGCUCGCUACUGAAAGCAACCCGUCCCCACAUAAGGAAUCCUAUUGUAUAUGCCACCAAAGUAGCUAGAGGAAGUUGUAGCCACAAUAUUACCCUGAAAGUGCAAAAACUUUCAGUGAAAAGCUUCCACAAAAAAGUGAAACCAAAUGGAGUUGAGUAUGAUCUCAAUUCUGUGGCCCUUGUCAGUCCAAAGACUGCGUUUUCUCUUAGUGUGAAGAAUUGCCAGUGGGUAAAUGCAAACUUUUACACAAAGUGCUAUGAAGACCCAAAUUUAAAGCAGUUCUGUCACACCAAAAGUAGAUGGAUUGUUUUCCAUAUAUCACCAGAUAUUCCUGAUGAUUUAUGCAUGGUAUCUCCCAUUCUUUAUCAUAAUGUGGUCAAGAACCAACAGAAUGUGGAAGUUACU